UAAUAACAUUCAUCUGAAAUGUUGCACAGUUAGGAUUUAUUAUUAUCCUUGCGUAUUUUAGUGUGGACUUGAAAUCGCACAGUUAGGGUUUUGUUCACCAAUUCUUAUAAUAUCUAUGGCAGUGUCAAAUCGCACUUUUCCUUUUCUCUCGCCACAAUAUCAAACCUGAAAAUUGACUCAAGGUUUUCUUCCUUCCACCAUACAACUAGGGUUAUCUUUCUUCCAUCGUACCCAAGGCAUCAACCACCUGCAAACCUGAAAAUUGGUCUGGUUCAAGUUGAAAUUGACUCAAAUAAAACAAUGUAAAUUUCAUCAGCCACCAUUUUAGUAAAACUAGAAUGCUUUUGCUUUUUUGUUCGUUUUGUAUUAGCUUGUUAUGUGAAUUGGGCAAUUAGUCAUGAAUAAAUUGAUGUCAAGCUCAAUCAAGCAAUUAUGACUAUAAUACUGCAUAAAGACAUGGGUCUACCAGAACGAGCCUCUUUACCUUAUGUAAGGCUGCAUUUACACGGGGUUAUACUAGGCUCUUCAUAUCCCUACAGUUGCUCCCAUUGAGGGUAUAGCAUUGGGUGGGGGACUUGAAAUGGCAAUGUCUUAUGAUAUCAGGACAUGUGGUACAUUCUUCUUGCAUUUCUAAGUUAAUGCCAUAUUUUCUCGUUCUUUC